AGAGUUUGAUCCUGGCUCAGGACGAACGCUGGCGGCGUGCCUAAUACAUGCAAGUCGAGCGGACUGAAGAAGAAGCUUGCUUCUUCUGAGGUUAGCGGCGGACGGGUGAGUAACACGUAGGCAACCUGCCCUCUGGACUGGGAUAACUACCGGAAACGGUAGCUAAUACCAGAUAAUUCACUUUUUCGCAUGAAGAAGUGAGGAAAGACGGAGCAAUCUGUCACCAGAGGAUGGGCCUGCGGCGCAUUAGCUAGUUGGAGAGGUAACGGCUCCCCAAGGCGACGAUGCGUAGCCGACCUGAGAGGGUGAUCGGCCACACUGGGACUGAGACACGGCCCAGACUCCUACGGGAGGCAGCAGUAGGGAAUCUUCCGCAAUGGGCGAAAGCCUGACGGAGCAACGCCGCGUGAGUGAUGAAGGUUUUCGGAUCGUAAAGCUCUGUUGCCAAGGAAGAACGUCCUUAAGAGUAACUGCUUAAGGAGUGACGGUACUUGAGAAGAAAGCCCCGGCUAACUACGUGCCAGCAGCCGCGGUAAUACGUAGGGGGCAAGCGUUGUCCGGAAUUAUUGGGCGUAAAGCGCGCGCAGGCGGUCAUCUAAGUCUGGUGUUUAAGCCCGGGGCUCAACCCCGGAUCGCACGGGAAACUGGAUGACUUGAGUGCAGAAGAGGAGAGUGGAAUUCCACGUGUAGCGGUGAAAUGCGUAGAGAUGUGGAGGAACACCAGUGGCGAAGGCGACUCUCUGGGCUGUAACUGACGCUGAGGCGCGAAAGCGUGGGGAGCAAACAGAAUUAGAUACCCUGGUAGUCCACGCCGUAAACGAUGAGUGCUAGGUGUUAGGGGUUUCGAUACCCUUGGUGCCGAAGUUAACACAUUAAGCACUCCGCCUGGGGAGUACGGUCGCAAGACUGAAACUCAAAGGAAUUGACGGGGACCCGCACAAGCAGUGGAGUAUGUGGUUUAAUUCGAAGCAACGCGAAGAACCUUA
rnacentral:rRNA from 1 species